CUUCAAUGCAAUGUAAUGGCUUAUUUCCACCGAGCAGGUUGGUUCAGUAAAGUACAGUACGCAAUUUUAUGCGUUUCUAUUGUCAGAAGUUGUGAGUGGUACCAAAAUAGAGAAUUGUACUGUACCACUUUUUUGGGACCCUUCUGUAGGGGUACCUAGCACAGUAGUCCGGUACCAAAAGGGUGGAGCUAGACUCACAACAGAAUGUUGAUUGGUUGACAGAGAAUCGUCACUUGCACGUGCUACAGGCUUUUUUUUUUAAAUAUGCAGUAAUGUCAGCAUGCAGCAAUGAACCAUGGUCAACCCAGGAGGUGCAGACCUUUCUGGGUAUCAUUGGUGAAGAACGUGUACGAAGAGAACUCGAUGGCAUGGUGAGAAACGAAAAGGUUUUCCAGCAUGUUUCUGAGAGGAUGGAUACGGAGGGGUUCCAGCUGACAUCCAAGCAGUGCAGCAUUAAACACAAGAAGCUGCGGAGUGACUACCAGAAGGUGAAAGACCAAAAACCCAAAGGUGUAAACCAAAAGAAUUGGAAGUGGUUCGAUAUGAUAGGCGCCGUUUAUGGACACAGACCGGCGAGUUUGGGAAGAGGAGGCGGCAUCGAUAUGGCCACCCCUCUGCUGGAGUCAAUGAUGGAGUCUGCCGUUGAGGAUCCUAGCUCUCAGAAGGAAACCACAGAGAGUCUUGACAAGAGGUUGUCCACCUGUGAGAGCUCGAGCUUGAGUUGGCCUGCCCGGACAUUGACACCGACACCACCAGAAUCAGUUCCAUCACCUCCGAGUGUACCCCGGUGUAAACACAUCGGCCCUGGUAGAGAUACAGGCAGCUGAUGAGAGGCAGCAGGAGUGGUUGGAGAGGAUGGAGGACCAUCGUCACCGGCACUUUGAGAUGAUGCUGGAGGAUGCCCAUGAGGCAAGGCAGCAUGAGGCUGAAGUCACUCGGCAACACAUGGAGCAGUCUGCAAGGUUCGAUCAGGCCUUCCUCUGCACACUCAGUCAGCUGGUGCAGGUGUUGAGUAGUCACCGUGACCCUGUGCCACCAUCCAGCCACUAGUGCUUUGCACACAGCGCAAGACUUAACACUUAUUUGACACUUUUUGUUUGCACAAAACUGUUUUUCUGUUGUUGCACAGCACAUUGUAUUUUAAGCAUUUGUUUGACU
rnacentral:lncRNA from 1 species